rnacentral:SRP_RNA from 1 species
GGCCGGUCCCCUCGCAACGAUCAGCCGUGAACCCGGUCAGGCCCGGAAGGGGAGCGGCCGCAGUGGUGGCAUUGUGUGCCGGGGUGUGGCUGGAAACC